rnacentral:rRNA from 1 species
CGUCACACACCGCCCGUCACACCAUGGGAGCGGGUUCUGACCAGAAGUAGUUAGCCUAACCGCAAGGGAGGGCGAUUACCACGGCAGGGUUCGUGACUGGGGUG